rnacentral:rRNA from 1 species
GCGUGAGUGAUGAAGGUUUUCGGAUCGUAAAGCUCUGUUGUUAGGGAAGAACAAGUGCGAGAGUAACUGCUCGCACCAUGACGGUACCUAACCAGAAAGCCACGGCUAACUACGUGCCAGCAGCCGCGGUAAUACGUAGGUGGCAAGCGUUGUCCGGAAUUAUUGGGCGUAAAGGGCUCGCAGGCGGUUUCUUAAGUCUGAUGUGAAAGCCCCCGGCUCAACCGGGGAGGGUCAUUGGAAACUGGGAAACUUGAGUGCAGAAGAGGAGAGUGGAAUUCCACGUGUAGCGGUGAAAUGCGUAGAGAUGUGGAGGAACACCAGUGGCGAAGGCGACUCUCUGGUCUGUAACUGACGCUGAGGAGCG